rnacentral:misc_RNA from 1 species
AACGCCCAUCUCCUUCGGCACUGACUGUCUUUUCCCUCCAAUUGAUUGUCACGUCUGCGGCGGUUUUCCUAAGACUAGGGUAAAGGGAGGACGAUAUUAAUAUCACAAAACUCGACAGUGAAUGAGUUUACAUAUGCCCAGAGAUAUCUUCGUCGGGAUUGCUCGAAAUUGAAGGUGUUCUUAGGGUUUCGGUUGAACAUUUCUCAAGCUGGGCAUCUUGGUGGAAGCAGUCAUCAUAGGAUCCUCGAGGGCUGAAUCCGUGUGGUAAAAGUAGAGUGGUCUGUGAGUGGAGACAGUUAUGGCUUUGGUAGAAGUUGGUAAAGAAGAGUCUCUAGUGGGUCUAGAUAAGGAUGAGGAAGUUGAAUUUGUCUGGGGUAGAAAGAGAGGUAUUGGUGGUAAGAGAAAGGAGGUGCAGUUUUAUGAAUCUUUUAUCUAUGAUGGUGUGGAGUAUACUUUAUAUGACUGUGUAUACAUGCACAAAGAAGGUGAACAUCCUUACAUUGGUAAGAUCAUAAAGAUAUGGGAAAAUCCAGACAAGUCUAGGAAGGUAAAGAUCCAGUGGUUUUUUCGGUCGACAGAGAUCUUGUAUCACCUGAAA